rnacentral:rRNA from 1 species
UUUAAUUGAAGAGUUUGAUCAUGGCUCAGAUUGAACGCUGGCGGCAGGCCUAACACAUGCAAGUCGAGCGGCAGCACAGAGAAACUUGUUUCUCGGGUGGCGAGCGGCGGACGGGUGAGUAAUGCCUGGGAAAUUGCCCUGAUGUGGGGGAUAACCAUUGGAAACGAUGGCUAAUACCGCAUGAUGCCUACGGGCCAAAGAGGGGGACCUUCGGGCCUCUCGCGUCAGGAUAUGCCCAGGUGGGAUUAGCUAGUUGGUGAGGUAAGGGCC